AUUGAACGCUGGCGGCAGGCUUAACACAUGCAAGUCGAGCGAGCGGCGGACGGGUGAGUAAUGUCAGGGAAACUGCCGGAUGGAGGGGGAUAACUACUGGAAAAGGUAGCUAAUACCGCAUACCAUCAGAUGUGCCCAGAUGGGAUUAGCGAGUAGGUGGGGUAAUGGCUCACCUAGGCCACGAUCCAUAGCUGGUCUGAGAGGAGGACCAGCCACACUGGAACUGAGAACCGGUCCAUACGCCUACGGGAGGCAUCAGUGGGGAAUAUUGCUCAAUGGGGGCAACCCUGACGCAUCCAUGCCGCGUGAAUGAAGAAGGCCUUCGGGUUGUAAAGUUCUUUCGGUAGCGAGGCGUUAACUACAGAAUAAGCACCGGCUAACUCCGUGCCAGCAGCCGCGGUAAUAC
rnacentral:rRNA from 1 species